GGUCAAAUCACGCUGAAAACACCGGUUCUUGUUCGAUCACCGAAGUUAAGCAUCGUAGAGCCAGGUCAGUACUUAGAUGGUGGACAUCUUG